AAGAGGCUGAAGCACUAAAAGAAGCUGCUAACUAUCUUUUAAAGCGGUUAAAUUCCGUUUACCUCUUU
rnacentral:tRNA from 1 species